rnacentral:rRNA from 1 species
GACGAACGCUGGCGGCGUGCUUAACACAUGCAAGUCGAACGGAAAGGCCCUGCUUUUGUGGGGUGCUCGAGUGGCGAACGGGUGAGUAACACGUGAGUAACCUGCCCUUGACUUUGGGAUAACUUCAGGAAACUGGGGCUAAUACCGGAUAGGAGCUCCUGCUGCAUGGUGGGGGUUGGAAAGUUUCGGCGGUUGGGGAUGGACUCGCGGCUUAUCAGCUUGUUGGUGGGGUAGUGGCUUACCAAGGCUUUGACGGGUAGCCGGCAUGAGAGGGUGACCGGCCACAUUGGGACUGAGAUACGGACCAGACUCCUACGGGAGGCAGCAGUGGGGAAUAUUGCACAAUGGGCGGAAGCCUGAUGCAGCAACGCCGCGUGCGGGAUGACGGCCUUCGGGUUGUAAACCGCUUUCGCCUGUGACGAAGCGUGAGUGACGGUAAUGGGUAAAGAAGCACCGGCUAACUACGUG